AGGAUGAACGCUAGCUACAGGCUUAACACAUGCAAGUCGAGGGCAGCAUGAACAAGCUUGCUAUGUUUGAUGGCGACCGGCGCACGGGUGCGUAACACGUAUCCAAUCUGCCCGUUACUCGGGGAUAGCCUUCUGAAAGGAAGAUUAAUACCCGAUGGCAUGUAUUUCCGGCAUCGGAGAUACAUUAAAGAUUUAUCGGUAACGGAUGAGGAUGCGUACGAUUAGCUAGUUGCGGGGUAACGGCCCACCAAGGCGACGAUCGUUAGGGGUUCUGAGAGGAAGGUCCCCCACACUGGAACUGAGACACGGUCCAGACUCCUACGGGAGGCAGCAGUGAGGAAUAUUGGUCAAUGGUCGGAAGACUGAACCAGCCAAGUAGCGUGAAGGAUGAAGGUUCUAUGGAUUGUAAACUUCUUUUAUACGGGAAUAAAACCUCCCACGUGUGGGAGCUUGUAUGUACCGUAUGAAUAAGCAUCGGCUAACUCCGUG
rnacentral:rRNA from 1 species